rnacentral:rRNA from 1 species
UUAGAGUUUGAUCCUGGCUCAGGAUGAACGCUAGCGGCAGGCUUAACACAUGCAAGUCGAGGGGCAGCGGGGAGUAGCAAUACUCCGCCGGCGACCGGCGAAAGGGUGCGUAACGCGUGAGCGACAUGCCCGUGACUGGGGUAUAACCGGUGGUAACGCCGACUAAUCCCCCAUAACACAGGAGGCUGCAUGGUCUCCUGUUGAAAACUCCGGUGGUCACGGAUUGGCUCGCGUCCGAUUAGCUAGUUGGCGGGGUAACGGCCCACCAAACCGACGAUGGCUACGGGGUCUAAAAGGAUGGUCCCGCACAUUGGAACUGAGACACGGUCCAAACUCCUACGGGAGGCAGCAGUGAGGAAUAUUGGUCAAUGGGGGGAACCCUGAACCAGCCAUGCCGCGUGAAGGAAGACGGCCCUAUGGGUUGUAAACUUCUUUUGCACGGGAAUAACCCGUCCCACGCGUGGGGCGUUGAAGGUACCGUGCGAAUAAGCAUCGGCUAACUCCGUGCCAGCAGCCGCGGUAAUACGGAGGAUGCAGGCGUUAUCCGGAUUUAUUAGGUUUAAAGGGUGCGUAGGCGGCCGGAUAAGUCAGCGUUGAAAGUCUGCGGCUCAACCGUAGAAUUGGCAUUGAUACUGUUCGGCUAGGAUAUGGCGGAAGUAGGCGGAAUGUGCAGUGUAGCGGUGAAAUGCUUAGAUAUUGUACAGAACACCAAUUGCGAAGGCAGCCUACUAUACCAUUAUUGACGCUGAGGCACGAAAGCGUGGGGAUCGAACAGGAUUAGAUACCCUGGUAGUCCACGCAGUAAACGAUGAUUACUGGUUGUUCGCGAUAGACAGUGAGCGACUGAGGGAAACCAUUAAGUAAUCCACCUGGGGAGUACGUUCGCAAGAAUGAAACUCAAAGGAAUUGACGGGGGCCCGCACAAGCGGAGGAACAUGUGGUUUAAUUCGAUGAUACGCGAGGAACCUUACCUGGGCUUAAAUGUAGGAUGCAUGGCUUGGAAACAGGCCUUCCCUUCGGGGCCGCCUACAAGGUGCUGCAUGGUUGUCGUCAGCUCGUGCCGUGAGGUGUCGGGUUAAGUCCCAUAACGAGCGCAACCCCUAUCGUCAGUUGCCAGCAGGUAAAGCUGGGGACUCUGGCGAGACUGCCGGUGUAAACCGAGAGGAAGGUGGGGAUGACGUCAAAUCAGCACGGCCCUUAUGUCCAGGGCUACACACGUGUUACAAUGGCCGGUACAAAGGGCAGCUACCUGGCGACAGGAUGCUAAUCUCUAAAGCCGGUCCCAGUUCGGAUUGGAGUCUGCAACCCGACUCCAUGAAGUUGGAUUCGCUAGUAAUCGUAUAUCAGCCAUGAUACGGUGAAUACGUUCCCGGGCCUUGCACUCACCGCCCGUCA